rnacentral:rRNA from 1 species
AUUGAACGCUGGCGGCAUGCUUUACACAUGCAAGUCGAACGGUAACAGGCCUUCGGGUGCUGACGAGUGGCGCACGGGUGAGUAAUGCAUCGGAACGUACCCAGAGGUGGGGGAUAACGCAGCGAAAGCUGUGCUAAUACCGCAUGUGAUCUGAGGAUGAAAGCGGGGGACCGAGCAGCAAUGUUUGGCCUCGCGCCUUUGGAGCGGCCGAUGUCGGAUUAGCUAGUUGGUGGGGUAAAGGCCUGCCAAGGCGACGAUCCGUAGCUGGUCUGAGAGGACGACCAGCCACACUGGGACUGAGACACGGCCCAGACUCCUACGGGAGGCAGCAGUGGGGAAUUUUGGACAAUGGGCGCAAGCCUGAUCCAGCAAUGCCGCGUGCGGGAAGAAGGCCUUCGGGUUGUAAACCGCUUUUGGCAGGAACGAAACGGUGUCCGCUAAUACCGGGCGCUAAUGACGGUACCUGCAGAAUAAGCACCGGCUAACUACGUG